GGGUCCCCAGGUCAGUUUUGGGGUCAGUUUUGGGGUCACUUCUGGGCUCAGCUUUGGGGGUCAGUUUUGGGGUCACUUUGGGGGUCACUUCUGGGCUCAGUUCUGGGGUCAUUUUCGGGGUCAGUUUUGGGGUCACUUUGGGGGUCCCCAGGUCAGUUUUGGGGUCACUUUCAGGGUCAGUUCUGGGGUCAGUUUUGGGGUCAGUUUUGGGGUCACUUUGGGGGUCAGUUUUGGGGUCAGUUUUGGGGUGCCUCCGGGGGUCCCCAGGUCAGUUUUGGGGUCACUUUGGGGGUCCCCAGGUCAGUUUUGGGGUAACUUUGGGGGUCCCCGGGUCAGUUUUGGGGUCACUUUCAGGGUCAGUUCUGGGGUCAGUUUUGGGGUCACUUUGUGGAUCAGUUCUGGGGUCACUUUGGGGGUCCCCAGGUCAGUUUUGGGGUCACUUUGGGGGUCAGUUCUGGGGUCACUUUGGGGGUCAGUUUUGGGGUGCCUUCGGGGGUCUCCGUACCCUCCAGGGGGGUGCUCAGACACCCGACCUCGUAGAAGCCGGCGUUGCCCUCGCAGCAAAUCACCUGUGGGGAGAGGGGUCAGACCCCAAAAACCCCCCGGGACCCCCCAAAAUAACCCCAAAACCCCCCGGGACCCCCCAAAACCACCCGGGACCCCCCAAAAACCACCCGGGACCCCCCAAAACCACCCAGGACCCCCCAAAAUAACCCCAAAACCCCCCGGGACCCCCCAAA
rnacentral:lncRNA from 1 species